rnacentral:lncRNA from 1 species
AGGAAAACAUCCAAUAAGACUGCUCAACUGUUGUUAGUUUUUGGACGAUGGGAACGGCCGGCCUCGCUCCCUAUGAGCAAAGUCUGUAAGUUUNNNNNNNNNNNNNNNNCGCAAGCAGUUACUUGAUUCUUUUUUUUUUUUGCACGAAACUCCUUCUAAUGUUUGAUUUGUGAGGAUCUGAUUUUGUUUCUUGUCCCCCUUUCCAAGGGUUGGUAAUUGUAUUCCUUUGGUUUAACAGGAAGUCACAUGGAUUCAUCGGUUGGGAGAAGAACGACAACAAGAUAUGCUACUCUGUCCUCUGAAUGGCAUUGGCCGUUGUGUUCUCCAAAUGGUGAUUUCCUGAUUCUGUUGUUAUGUUGUGAUAUCCAUCUCGUGUAACAUGUGGUGAAGUCUUUUUCAAUAUGCUUUGGGCAUAGUCUUCUUCAGUGAGAAGCCACUCCAUGCAUGCGGAUAUAAGCUUCAGAACUAGAAUUAGAGGAGAGUACUUU